AUUGAACGCCGGCGGCAUGCCUUACACAUGCAAGUCGAACGGCAGCACGGGAGCAAUCCUGGUGGCGAGUGGCGAACGGGUGAGUAAGUAUCGGAACGUGCCCAGUCGUGGGGGAUAACGCAGCGAAAGUUACGCUAAUACCGCAUACGAUCUAUGGAUGAAAGCGGGGGAUCGCAAGACCUCGCGCGAUUGGAGCGGCCGAUAUCAGAUUAGGUAGUUGGUGGGGUAAAGGCUCACCAAGCCGACGAUCUGUAGCUGGUCUGAGAGGACGACCAGCCACACUGGGACUGAGACACGGCCCAGACUCCUACGGGAGGCAGCAGUGGGGAAUUUUGGACAAUGGGCGCAAGCCUGAUCCAGCCAUGCCGCGUGCAGGAUGAAGGCCUUCGGGUUGUAAACUGCUUUUGUACGGAACGAAAAGGUUUGACUUAAUACGUUGGACUCAUGACGGUACCGUAAGAAUAAGCACCGGCUAACUACGUGCCAGCCGCCGCGGUAA
rnacentral:rRNA from 1 species